rnacentral:rRNA from 1 species
GAUGAACGCUGGCGGCGUGCCUAAUACAUGCAAGUCGAGCGAACGGACGAGAAGCUUGCUUCUCUGAUGUUAGCGGCGGACGGGUGAGUAACACGUGGAUAACCUACCUAUAAGACUGGGAUAACUUCGGGAAACCGUAGCUAAUACCGGAUAAUAUUUUGAACCGCAUGGUUCAAAAGUGAAAGACGGUCUUGCUGUCACUUAUAGAUGGAUCCGCGCUGCAUUAGCUAGUUGGUAAGGUAACGGCUUACCAAGGCAACGAUGCAUAGCCGACCUGAGAGGGUGAUCGGCCACACUGGAACUGAGACACGGUCCAGACUCCUACGGGAGGCAGCAGUAGGGAAUCUUCCGCAAUGGGCGAAAGCCUGACGGAGCAACGCCGCGUGAGUGAUGAAGGUGCUCGGAUCGUAAAACUGUGUUAUUAGGGAAGAACAUAUGUGUAAGUAACUGUGCACAUCUUGACGGUACCUAAUCAGAAAGCCACGGCUAACUACGUG